GUGUUCUUCGUCCUUUUUUCCUAUAUUUUUUCUCUCUCAUUCUUUCCGGAGUUUUUCGUACAAUCGCCCAGGAGGGCGACGGAAUGCGCGGAGGAGUAGCGCAAAUGUUAGAGCGGAAGAAAAGAAAAGAAGAGA
rnacentral:ribozyme from 1 species